rnacentral:lncRNA from 1 species
CAAGCUGGUUUUGAUAAAAGUGCUUGCCUAUGUCAAGCUGGUUGUAGUUUUUGGCACUUUCUACGGGCUUCACAUGUUAACUCAGGAUGACAAGGGCACAUAUAAAGAUCAAGCACUAACCUUGAAAUUGAACAAUGGCAUGAAGGUACUCCUGUGGUACAAACAUAAUUAACAUUAAUCAACAGCUGCUCAUGAAUUGAGAAUGAUCAACGUACUUUGCUAAGUACUUUAAUUAUCUGGUGUCUGUAUGUGGUUUGAGUAUUAUGUGUGUAUGUUCAAAAGGAUGGAUGUACCGCUGAGGCACAUCUCCCUAGUACUGUACUGAAUCUCGAAGGUGCGCUUGUACCAAGAAUGCACCAUUACAUAAAUAAAACCAGCUGUGUGUGUUUGAGUUCAUAUAUUACACUUCGUUCGCCUAUUCACUUCCCAACAGUCUAAGAGUAAUUGAAAACUCUUGAAACCUGACUACAUGUUUUGUGUGAGUAUCUGUUUCCUGUACCAUACCUUUAUUCCUCAAAACCUUGCAGUAUGUCAAAACGCCGACUUACACCAAGUCGAAUUAUGUUGUUGGUUCCUUUGAAAUCACAAGCAACGCCCAAAAUAUGCUAACGUAUUGAGACAUUCACAUGAAUGAGAGUUCCUGUGAUGUUUGCUUGAAGUUGUAGUCUGGACCGAUGUUUGCUUUGAUUAUCAUUUUUAUCCCGUCUACUUAUAUUUGUAGUUAGAAGACAAAGGAACAGACAAGGAAAAAGUACAAGAUCGCACAGAUGUUCUAUUGAGCGCGACUAAAAAGGUCUGCGAUAAUUUGCUUGCCGCCAUUAUCAUUAUUAAGUAAAACUCUACUUAUUCGAAAAGAUAUUGCUUGACAAGUGAACCAAAGUACCAAACUAGAUGUUACAAGAGUUAAAUUUUUUUUUCCCUGUUUCUAUAACAAGCUUUCAAUUAGCAAAAUAAUAAGAAUGGGAACUAAUACCCAAAGCAAAACCUAACUUACACUGAGUGAAACGGGGAGCUUCCUUUGGUGAUGAAGGAAAGCGAAGGAAUCAAAAACCAAAAAAAAAGAAAAAGGAAAAGGAAAAAAGAACUUAAAAAGGAAAAAAAUGAACAUUAUUCGGAAAUAGUAGGAAAAUAACACAUCUUCAUGACGUUUUUUCCAGGAACAAUAAAUAUGGGGCGAAUUACCUGCUCAAAAUAUUAGACAGGGCAAAGUUAAACUCCUAAAAUAAAUAGUUCAUGGGGGUUUUUGUUUUACGAAUUAUUUAAAACUCGCAACAGAUCUUCUGUCCCACAUCCUGCGCCACUUUCUGUCUUACUUUUUAUUAUAUUGCUAUUUCUCCUACAUAAACAUCACGUUUUAAUUCUUUUUUGUUUCCUUAAGAUCCAAUAACUAUUAAUUGAGUAAAAAAUAAAUAUAGCAGUUUCAAAAAAGCAAUAUAUAAUAGAAAAUUAAAAAAUACAACAGAAAAUUCAUAAAAAAUCUCAUUUUUUAUGCAUUUUGGUUUUUUGAGUUUGUUAAAUUUUGUGUAGUACUCAAUUAAUAGUCAUUGGAUUUUAAGGAAACAAAAAAGAAUUAAAACAUGAUGUUUAUAUAGGAGAAAUAACAAUAUAAUAAAAAGUGAGACAGAGAGUAGCACAGUGUGUGGGACAGAAGAUCCAUUGCGAAAAAAACUAGCUGCUGGGUUGUAAAUGGACACACCCACAUCCAUCAUCACAGAUGUAAAUGGAUCCACUCACAUUCAUCGUGGAUGCACACAUGGCUUAGAUUUUCGAUUAUGUGCUUGUUAUAUUUCUUGAAGGAAUUGAUGUACGCUCAAUUAAUUUAGUGCAUAAAAUUUAGGGAUAAUUUCAGAAAUCUCCCUUGAGGUUUUAACAAUUUCAUUUAGCUCCCUUGAGAUUUUUAAAAUUACACAUUUCUCCUUUGUCAUUUAAAAUGAUAAUACUACGCUUAAAUAUUUUAAUGAAAUUCCCUUGUUUGAUAUACUUAUACUUAGAAUGACUUUUAAAAUUAUUUUUUCAUUCUUUUUCCUUCUUAUUCCUUUUUAUUUUAAUUUUUUUGCCAAUAAAACUGUAGAACUACCACUAUUACCUCUAGUUUUUAUUGAUACCGAAGUACUAUCACUAUAAUUUGGUGUACAUUUGAGUUAGUUAGUUAGUUAGCCUCAAUCCAUUCCUAUUUAAAUGACUUGAAUAGCCGAACCCCUUAAAUUCAGAAAAUUAAUUAGUUCCUAAAAUUUAAUAAAAAUUUUACCUGGCUUUCCAAAACUACCUUUUAUCUUUCAUAUUUUUAACUACUUUUAUGUUUAAUGUUACAAACACUGCGUUUGAUUUCUUAUAUUCCCAACUCAAGAAAGUUGAGAAUAUUAAUCAAGGUAAAUUUGGAAAAAAGUUCAUAAAUGAUUUCUUAAUAUAAUAAAAGGAUAGAUAAAAGGAAACACUUGGUUGUGGUCAUUUAAAUAGGAAUGGAGGGAGUAAUAAAUUUAGAUACUAACACAAUAAUUUUUUAGCACAAAUUUUAAUAUGAAAAAUGUGCUGUGUUAUUUACACGUUCUUGUGUUGGCGUUUACAUUUAUUGUUUUAGUUUCCGCCUUUGCUCUGGUAGUAUUUACACUGUAUUAUAUAAUUGCCGCUGACAAUUGUAGAGAAUCUUGAUCCGAAAGGCAUUCUCUUGUGAUGGAUCCAAUAGUUGAUGGACGGAAGACUCCGGAUCAUGGGCCUCUACAAUUACCAAUGGCAACUUCAAGGUACAGUGUAACGGAAUGAUCAUGGGUCAAGGCAUUGUUGCAAGGAAGUGGAACGGAAUGAUCAUGAAAGCGAAGGCAAUAGUCAAUCAAUAUAAGGGGAACCAAGUAAAGAAGAAGCUUUAGCAACUAGGAAUGCAAUGCUGAUGGCUGAACAGUUAGAUGGACUAAAAUUACAAUCCAUUCGGAUAGCAAAUCAGUUAUUGACCAGAUACAUAGUGGCCAUGAGUAUGAUAGUACCAUUGCAACUAUUCUGGAAGAUGUGCAGGAUUUGACUUCACAUUUUGUAAGCUGUAGGUUUGUGUGCAUAUCUAGAUCAGAAAAUGAAAUUAGCCAUGCUCUAGCUCAGUUUGCUGUUCAGCUAGUGAAUGAUAUUGAAUGGGAACAAAAUUUCCAAAAUUGAAUGGGAACAAAAUUUCCCAGUUUGGCUGAUGGAUUUAGUGAGGAAGCAAAUGAGGUAGUUGCCCCCUUUUUGUAAUUAAUUCUUGUAUUUAUCAAGGGUUUAUCAAAUAUAUAUAACUGUUAACGUUUGUGGAAAAAAAAAACUUCAAGGUACAGUGUAGUCACAGUUACAAUAAAUGUAAACACUAAAACAAGAGAUGUAAAUUGCCUCAGGGUUGAAAGGGUAUUGGGUGGUAGUAUCCCACUUAGCAGCAGGUCCCCCCUAUAGGUACAUUUGUCCCACAUCGGGGUUGGGGUUGGGUUUGGGUUGGGAUAUAAGUCCCUGGGAUUGCCUCAAGAGUUGCCGGCUUUUGAGGUUAAUUCUGGGAUUAGGUUUAUAAAACAACAAAAGUCUGAUUCAGGCUGUUGAAAAAAAAACAAGAGAUGUAAAUACUAACAUAACAAGAAGUAAACGCAAAACAAAAAUUUUUUCUUAUAGAAAUUUGUUCAUUAAAAUUUGUUGUGUUUUUUAUAUGUCUUGUGCCUUAAAAUUUGUUGUGUUUUUUACAUGUUUUUACAACAGCAUAAAGGUAACAAAUAACAACUUCCACUGUUGUUAAGGGACGUACAUACAAUCACUGUUAUCAUCAUAACAUUGAACAACAUCAUCUUAUUAAUUUUUUUUUUCCUACUUCCAUUCAGCUUUUUUUAAUUUACAUUCCACAAUUUUGUUUCUUCAGACAAUUUCUUCAGAUUUUCAUUCUUCUUCUCCCAUUCUUCUACUAGUAGCCUCAAAGUUUCAUUCGCUUGCGUCAUUUUUUUUUUUUUUUGUUGCUUGCUGUGAAUUAGUCUCUUUGAAAUGGCAUUAGCAUACAGUGCUAAUUAACUAAUUAGUGUCUUUGAAAUGGCAUGCGAGUAACUAAUUAACUAUUUUCUUGAUCCUCUAAGAAUAACAAGUAGUAACAUUAUCCAUAGUCGAGGCAGAGUAUAUGGCAUGUACAUAUAGUGCUGCUCAAGCAUUAUGGUUAGGAAGAAUGCUUGAAUUUCUAUGACACAAGCAAAUCAAUCCUACCAAAAUCUAUUGCGAUAGCAAAUCUUUUAUUGAAUUGUCAAAGAAUCCAGUAUUUCAUGGAAGAAACAAGCACAUUGACAUCAAGUUUUAUUUAAUUAGUGAACUAGCUCAAGAUCAAGAGAUUACCAUUGAAUAUUGCAAGAACAAAGAUUAAGUUGAACAUGGAACAUGGAGCUGUUUCUCAAGUUGAAGAAGAUGCUUGGUAUGGUGCAAUUAAAAAUAUUGGUUUAAAGAGGCAAUGUAGGAUAUUUAAACUAAGUCCUUUUAUUAUUUAGUUUGUUUUGUUUAGGAAACUAGUAAAUAAGUCCAUAUAUGAUUUGUUAGUUACUUUACAGUCCAAUUACUAUAUAAAGACCUUAUAUCGAUAUUUCUCGUAUUAGAGAAUUAUCACCUAGCUUUAAUUUGCGUCAUUUACCAUUUAUCAUUUGUGGCCUCGACUUGUAUUUCGUCUUAUUUCUGCAGUCGUUCUUUUACAAAAAUAUAAGAAAGCUUUUAUUUCGUGAUUAUUUUGCUUGUAAAUUGAUUUGAGAGCUUUGUUCUUAUAAUUAUAAAUAUUUUGAGGUCCUACAAACAUUUAAACAUUUAAACCGAAAAAAAAUGCACCAGCAAAAUAAAAAUCAGGUAUUCAAUUCAAUGAGGAAAAACCGAAAACCUGGCAAAAUCAAUGCUACUUUGGCCAUGGCCCAUCCUAUAUUAGAACAGAAGCAUUCUAAGUCUGUCAUGUUCUACCAUUGCGGCAGCAUAUUGGCUGACAAAAUAAUUCAAUUUAAACCACAUAAUUAAAGAGCUAUGGAUAGAAAUCCAGUCAAUGCCAAACCUUGAUCAACAAAUUGUAGCUGAUACUAAUAUUUCCCACCUGUCAAACCUGCAACUAAAAUGGGAAGCUCUUCUUCAAUUUUACAAUUCUACAUGGACAACCCAAUUCAAACAGUGAAACACCAUAACACAUUAAAAAAUACCUAUUCAAGAAAAUUGCUGAAAAAUGGAAAAGAGGAGUAGCUAAACCUGCAAAAUCUCAUUCUAAUAUGCUGUGUACUUUACAGUCCAGAAACUAUAAGCAAAUGAGAAGAAUUCAAGCAGCCGGAGUUAUGGUAACGGCAUAGAAACCAAACUGCUUCACUAAUUCCCGUUCUGUCAUUCUUUUAGCAAAUCAUUGAUUAAGUUUGUAAUAAAAUCAGCUUCUACACACAAAUGCACAAUGGCAUAGACUCUCUUUAAGGAUUAAACCUGUAAUUAUAAAAGUUACUAGAAGGCAGAUAAAGUCAUUUAGCACUAAUUACCAAGCAUUGAACCGUUAGACAUUCUGCUGAAUCGAUUUAGGAAACCAAACCUUGAAUCACUAAAUUACCCUUCCAUGAGGAGAUGGAAUUUGUCACCAUUUAUCCCCAGAAACUGCUUUUAAUCUGUGUUUACGCUUUUAAGCUGUAAUAAGAGUCGAUUGUUUGCAUUUCCUUUCUUUUCUUCCCUAAACUAGCUCUCCAAAUGUUUAUUUCCCUUUUUAUUUCUCAUUUAUUAUUAUUUUUUAAAUCACAACCUAGGACUGGAAUAUUAGGUUAAAUGAAAAAAGUAAUUUUUAAGAAAGUUCAUAAAAGUCUAUUACCAUUUCUUCUACUGUUUAAAUUUCAAGAGAAUUAUAGAUUUUUAUAUAUUCCUCUGUGUCUAGUAAAACUUGCAAUAUAGCAAAAAAUAUUUGCUUAGAAAAUAAGUUUUCCGUCCAAAAUUUUCCGGUCAAAUAAAUGUUUAUCAAAUUCAUCUUCUCGCGCUUUACUAUCCAACAAGGCCAUUAUUCUCUUUAUCGAAACAAAACACAAGUGGCUUCUUACCCAAAAAAAAAAAAUGCAAGUGGUUGUCAAUUUUUAUGUUUGCUUUCUAUCUGGAUUUAGCUUUAUAUCUGGAGUUUACACAGCAGGACGGGACAUAGGAGAACUAGAAUUUGAUUCCAAAAUGAUUGUCUGUUUCCUAAGUGAUUGUCUAUUUUAGGAAUAGCUUGCAUUUUGUCUUAUCUAAUUAGCAUAUCUUCCAAGCUCUUAUUUCCUGGAUAACGUCCUAAAAUUUUCAAGUUCCUCAACAACAAUAACGUGGUGCACCAGAAUUUUGCACUUGAAAAUUAAUCAAACAUCAGGGAUGAGGAUACUUAGAUAUCUAUCUCUUUUGUAGUUAUAUCUAUCUCUUAGAAAAUGUUAUCGUCUCGGAGGUUGAUUUCUUUUUUUCCUAAGGCUCAUACAAUAAUAAUAAGAAUACUUUUUGCUGGCAUCAUAAAGCUCUUUCCUCAUGAGACGUAUUAACAAGUAACCUAACGAGAAUAAUACGUAAACUUAAGUCAUAUUACAUUAAAGACGCAUAUCAUACCACUAUAUCUUGUCAAAUCAACAAAGGAAUGAUUUUGGCACUCCACAAAAAUCUUUAAGCGUGCACUUCGCUCCCUUUUUUUCUCAUUAAUUAAAAUAACUUAAUAGCCAUACACAAUUUUGGAUCACAAAUGAUUGCCCAUCUGUGUUUAAAUUUUGUUGGCAACCAUCUUUUUUUUUUUUUUCCAAAUAUUUGUAAGUCUACUAUGUGUGACAUGUGUAGUACUUGUACUUGUACUUUUUGUUUUUUCUUUCAUUUUUUUUUUUGUCAAGGAACUAAAUUGCCGAAUGGUUAAUAAAUUCCGUAACGACAAAAUGAGGGAUGUACGAUGGAGAUGAUCCAUUUAACCAAAGGUUACUGGGAAACCAACAAUUAUUGCAAGUUCAUUUUCAUUUAUGACAUUAUGAAUUAAAAGGAUUCUUUUUGUUCUUGUUAUAUUAUCCGAAAAGGGGCAGCAUCUUAUCAAGAGUGUAAGCUAUAAUCAAGAAUUUGCCAAGGAGACAUGGAAAAGUUUAGAUUCUCUGGAUAGGAUAUUAUUUUCUUUUCGAAUUGCAUCAAUUAACUGAUGCAGCAAGAAGCCCUUUCUCCCUUUCUUCUCUCUAGAAAAAACUCUCUAACUAAAACUCCUUUCAACUCUCUCAUGACAAAGAGAUCAGAUUUUUCUGAUCUUUUUCCAUGGGAGGAGCCCUCUCUAUAACUUUUUUUAUCAUUUGUGUUAAUAAAAUCUUUUCUAAAAUUUUCUAGCGAGAGUUUUUUUCUCUUCUUAGGGAUGUCUAUUGAGAUUUUUCUUUUCUCCUCAAUUUUUUAGUAAGAGUUUUUGAUAAUAUUUUUUAUUUUUCUUUUAUUAGAUCUAAGUCUUUUCAUAUUUUGAUUAUCAGAUCUAGAAUUUCUUGGAUCUAUUCGAUAGAUCUCACCAUAAUAUCUGGGCUUGAAACAGUAGUUAAUCAGCAGAUCUGAUGAUUGGAAGCAUGCACCGAUAUCCAUGGAGCUAUAAUUAUUUUAUCUCAUUUUUCAAAUUUGGAGAUUUACAAUAUAAUUUUUAUUGUUCUUCAGAUUUAUAGUAUCCUUUUUUCAGAUCUAUUCUUUGAUAUCUGUGUAUGAUGAUGUAAUUUUUGCUAUUAGUGCCGACUUUAGUGAAAUUAUGAUAUUUUAUCAAAAAAAAAAAAGAUAGGAUAACACCCAGCAUUUUGACAUGUACGUACUAUUAUAUUCAAGCUAGUGAGGACCCUUGAGGAUUAGAAAGUUAUAAGAAUUAUCCUAGCGUUAUAUACAUUGUGAUUUGCAGAGUUAUAGACAAAAAUAAACAUCUAAAAUAUUAUUCUUUAUUGCCUCAAAAUGGAUGAGUUGGUGGAUACACCUAAAGUCAAGGAAAAGAGAAAGUGAAUAGUUUUGGAAAAUUAAAGAUUGAGAAUUCAGGGGUCCAAAUAUGGGAUUAGGCAAGAUUUAAGGUAGACCUAAUUUAUAGAUAUACUUAUAGACAGGAGGCAUAUAUAGUGACGAUAUUAAUUUUGUUGCAGCACAAUAUGUCACUUGCUAUCAUUUUUAUUUCUUUUUCAUCGCCAUACAUAACAUUGAUUUUGUGAUUCUUGAAUACAAAUGUAUGAUGUCUAUGUGUAAAUAUAGUCUACCUAAUAUGCUUUACUGUUGAGUUUGACAAUACAAGAAAUCCUUGAACAAAUCAUUCUAAUCAUCCCCAUCUUCCCAACGUAUUAUCUUUGGAUUUGAUAAUUUUAGAGGGGGGUGUUAUUAUUUAUGGUGUUCCAACGUUGUGACAUUGUUGAAAGUAUAUAUGGAAGUUGCCCUGCAAAGAUAAUGGUUAUAAUUCAUAAAAACCUAAUUAAAAUUUAAAUUAUAAAUCAAAUAAAUUGAUAUAACUUAUCAAAUAAGAUGUUAAAAUUAAAAUUUAAAAAAUAACUAAUUCCCAAUCCUCACCCAAGUUGGAGAGUGUACACUUGUAGCUUCCAAAUUGAAUACCAAAAUUUGAAAUGGAUCGUGACCGAUCAUUUUGAAUCUCUUCAGGUCAUGGAUUCUUAAUAUUAAUCAAAAUAAGGAGCAUUGGUUAUUGUGAAAAUGUCACACACCCUUAAACAGUAAUACUUUGAUGGGAAUAGGACCCAUAAUAUGAUCCAUUAAUUGAAAUGGCAUAUAACCUAUUCAAAAUAUUGUAAACAGGAGUAACUACCUUACAACACAAAUUAAAAAUGAACAUCGAAAAAGGGAUUAAAUGCACUCCCUCAAGAAAGACCUGCAAAAUUACAUCCAUUAAAAGGAUCGGGAACACCGUUAGGAAAAAGAUGACCGUUCUUGACAUAAAUUGAAAGGAGAAAAAUUACCAAAUUAAGAUUUUGUUAGGAAAUUGGCUUAAUUUCUUUUAGGUAGAUUUCAUGUUUUGUGUGAAAGUAACUAGAUUCCUAAUUGGUUUUAGUUACUUGAACUAGUAGUCAAAUAAAGCCCUAUUUAACAGGAAUUAGAUGCUAUUUCCAUAUGAGUUUAGUAAAUAGUAUUGGUUUCCAAAUUGUUAUUUGGUUUUUUGGCAGUAAUGUUCCCUAUAAAUAGGUGGAUUGGCAUACUACACAAGAGACACAGGACACACACAAGAAGACACAAGGGGCAUCAUGUAGCCUUAUACAUGGGGUGUGUGAGAGGGUUCUUGGGAGAUGAGAGAUGGUAUACAAGGGUUGGGCUUGGGUUCAAGUUGUAUUCUUGUAUAGGAUUUUCCUCUCAUAAUAAAGAACAGGUUUCUCUCCGUGGAUGUAGGCUCAAUGGUGGAGCCGAACCACGUUAAAUAUUGUGUGUGUGUCUAUCUUUCAUGCUUGUGACUUGUUCCUCAUUAAAUUGUUAUGCACUUGAUAUCUCAAUAGUUGUUUAUUCUGCAUCUGGAUCCCAACAAGUGGUAUCAGAGCCUGGUUGCGAGACUGGGCAAUAGAGCAAGGUUCAUAGUUGGAUCCUAGUUAACUAUUGAGAUCAAGUGGAUUGGUAGUUAUCACCAAUUGAACAAUUUAAUGGGUGGUAUCCUUGUUUCAAUGGCUUGGGAAAAACCAUUGAUGGUGAAGGAUGGGAAGUCGAAAAGCAUGGAAAUGCUUGACAAUGAAUCUAAGCAGGUGAUUCAAGGGUCAAGGAAAAGGUGGAGUCCAAUGUUGAUUUUGGACGUGAAUCGGUGGAGACUUUCUCACACCUCCAACGGUUGAUUCUUCAUCCCGGUGGAUUUUAGAUUUUGGUUAUGUUUUUUGGGUGGUGUGGCACGUGUCCCAAAGAAAUAAGGAGAUCUAAUUUCUAUGCGCCAGAAGACUCUGACAGGUACGAGUUUUUCGUUUUAGGUGGAGUCUUGGAAACCACAUGUGGCGAGACAGUCCUGAGGAUGGGAAGAAGUAUGGUGACUUUACCACUUGAUUGCCUCAAUGGUUAGGGUUAGAGCUCACAGAAGGGAAUCCCAGAUUGCAAGUGGUGGUGAGAAGAAAUCCUGCAAAGGGAGACGGUGAAUUGAGGCACCUUCUCACGAGUCAACUGGAGGUUGGACUCGGGGCAACUACACAUGUUCAUUUGUCGAUUGAAUCAAUUUGGUGUCAGGGCUGUAUUGAUUCGGGUGUGUAGUUUGGUACCAUAUUAUUUGGUAGUUGAAGGCAAAUGGUUGCUAAAAGAAAUUUUCGCCAAGGUGGAGAUUUGUUAGGAAAUUGGCUUAAUUUCUUUUAGGUAGAUUUCAUGUUUUGUGUGAAAGUAACUAGAUUCCUAAUUGGUUUUAGUUACUUGAACUAGUAGUCAAAUAAAGCCCUAUUUAACAGGAAUUAGAUGCUAUUUCCAUAUGAGUUUAGGAAAUAGUAUUGGUUUCCAAAUUGUUAUUUGAUUUUUUGGCAGUAAUGUUCCCUAUAAAUAGGUGGAUUGGCAUACUACACAAGAGACACAGGACACACACAAGAAGACACAAGGGGCAUCAUGUAGCCUUAUACAUGGGGUGUGUGAGAGGGUUCUUGGGAGAUGAGAGAUGGUAUACAAGGGUUGGGCUUGGGUUCAAGUUGUAUUCUUGUAUAGGAUUUUCCUCUCAUAAUAAAGAACAGGUUUCUCUCCGUGGAUGUAGGCUCAAUGGUGGAGCCGAACCACGUUAAAUAUUGUGUGUGUGUCUAUCUUUCAUGCUUGUGACUUGUUCCUCAUUAAAUUGUUAUGCACUUGAUAUCUCAAUAGUUGUUUAUUCUGCAUCUGGAUCCCAACAGAUUUCCAUGAAAGAAAUUGAAAAACCUUCAAGAGAUAACCAUUUUGCUACAACUUUUCUAUACCGUAGUUGUUGAGAAAGAUGAUUGUUCUAUCGCGGUCCUUCCACAAAUGGAGGGAUAAAUUAGCACUCUUGUCCAUUCCAUUGCAGCAUCUAUUUCCUCCUUUCUCAUGAUACUGACGUUGUUUACUUUAGAAAAGAAUAAAAGAAAGGAACAAAGCUCUUGCUAAUAUUCUUGGUGAAUAUUAGAUUCCCAAUACAUAUUUGUCACUAGAUUCCCAAUUUCCAAGCAAGGGCAUAAACGGCAUUUAAGUGUUAAAGUGUUGCCUAUAAAUACAAGGAAUGAGGUAAGUUCUUUCGUGUGCAAAGCCUAGUUUCGACAACUACACCAGUUAUAAAAUUCCAUUAUCUCCGUUAGUAGCUAGCUAGCUCCCCAAGGGAAAAAUGACUGAAGUCAUAGCCAACUACAACAUCAACGUGAACGAAUUCGCCGCCAACAGUAAUCUUCUAUUCUCUCAAAAUUUGCACAUCAGUUUUGUAUUUUGCAUGCAUGUGCAUGUAUUUUAUUUUCCUGGAAUUGAAAUGAGUUUUUGUUUCUUGAUGGAAAUCAGUGGCUGUGGAGGGAUUCCAAUCAGCUGAAGUGGAAGCUAUAAUGAAGGCAGUUGGAGAAAACAAGACAUGGAACGCAAUUGAAGGACUCAGUGACACGGUGAAUCAUGAUCAUAUUCCUUUCAUAACAUUUUUCAUUCUUUCUUGGGCGUGUAGUUUUGACUUGUUUCUGCAAUAGUAUUGCUGACUUGAAUCAAAUCAAAGGCGCCCUUCAACUUGUUCACGGGUUUUAUAUGUGUACUAGCAUUUGUAAAUGUAUGGUUAACUUGUACGAGUCAGUCUUUAAAAGUUUUUAUACGUUAGAAUAUCCCAAAAUACAGCGUAUACUUUACGUAUUUUGAGACUUGUCUUAGCUUACUAAAAAUUUGGUAUAUAGUUUAUAUAGAAUGGUAGAUCUUUUAUUUGAAAACAAAGAAAGGAUUUAAAUAUAUAAUUUAUCAACUUGCACAGAAACUCUUGGGAAAAGUAAAAGGAGUUGCUAUUGAAAGUCUUGAGCACAUUUUUGAAUUGGUUUAAGCAAUUAAAACUUUUUAUUCAUCUUGUCUACUUUCUUGAAUUGCUUGAUUAACCUUCUCCCCGAGUAAUGUUAUUUCUUACUAAUUGGUCGGAUCAACUUAGUUUUUGGCUAUUUUUCUAAUGGAUUUGGAUUAAUUCUGGGAACUCAAUUAUUUGGGGUUUACAGAAUGCCAACCUCCAAGGUUUAUGUGGUACUACGACUGCACAAAAUGUGGACAAGACAGUCCCUCCUGAUGUUCAAGAGAUGGCAGAAUUUGCAGUGGCAGAGUACAACAGGAUAGCUGGGACCAAUCUGGUUUUGAUAAAAGUGCUUGCCUAUGUCAAGCGGGUUGUAGUUUUUGGCACUCUCUACCGGCUUCACAUGUUAACUCAGGAUGACAAGGGCAUACAUAAUGAUCAAGCACUAACUUUGAAAUUGAAAAAUGGCAAGAAGGUACUCCUGUCGUACAAACAUAAUUAACAUUAAUCAACAGCUGCUCAUGAAUUGAGAAUGAAUAACGUACUUUACUAAGUACUUAAAUUAUCUGGUGUC